AGAAAAAUCUUUACUUGGUAAACUUAUUAUUUUUUUAGGUAUUUUGUUAUAUCUAAUGUUGAAGUUGUCAAUGACAUUGUUGCCCCAUAUGAAAGUGCCGAACCACCUGCAUAUCAUGAUGAUACUGCACUGCCAGCACAUGAUAGUGCCACAGCUGAGACUGGUGCAAUUAAUGUACCACUAUCACCAGUGCCUAGUGAAACAGGCCACACACCUAUGCAGUCAUUGGGUACUAGAGGUAGAUUGAGGAGAGUUGGGCAGGGGCAACGAGAAAGACAUACUGCAGUAAGACCUGCACCACCUGCACAAUCUAACAGGUCAGCGUUACAAGAGUCUCGCAUGAUGAUUUUAGAAAUAGAAAAAAUGAGGGCAGAAGCUUCACUGAAUGCAGCACAAGGUUUUAAGUUAUUGGCUGAGAGUGUGGAUAGACUAGCAAG